UGGUGAAUGAAAUGAUCCAAUUGACAUCAUCAAAUGAACUCUUCGAUUUCAUCUUAGAGUUGGAUGCAGUCCUUGAUGUUGUGGGCGUGGUUGCAGUGGUAGUGAUCAUAUGUAUCCUGAUUGAACUGAUCUAGUCAGGACUGCAUCUUCUCCACUUUAGGAAGCUACUCCCUUAUUUCCAUGAGCACUUGAGUCCUGAAUGUGUUCAGAAAAAUAUAGUUAGUGAACCUCCUCUGGAGACAAGCGCCUCGAUGAUGG
rnacentral:lncRNA from 1 species